UCUCCCACACACCCACGGCUGCCAACCCUAGCCCUCUCCCUCUGCCGCCGCCCAACCCUAGCCCAACCCAAUCCGCCUCCGUCCUCUUCUCCAGUCACACCAGCGAGCUCCAACCUCAUCGCCGGCAGCUCCUCCCCUCUCCUCCUAGAUCCACUCGGGCUACUCAUGUUGUGGCCAUCCUCUCUCUCCCCCACGUAGCGAACCCUAGCGCUCCCCGAUCCAGAUCCCUCCGCUCCUAUCGCCGACAUCCACCACCGCUUGCCGCCGGCCUCGACCCCCUCCCUCCCCUACAGCCCCCACCCCGGCCUCUUCCUCCCAUACUGCACGCCGCCGCCACACAUGGCACCGCGCAACAGGGGGCUCGCAUUGCUCCGACCAGAUCCGAUUGGCGCCUCCUUGGCCUUGGAUCAGGCCAGCACGACUCGGGUGCCACCACCGAGAGGCGUGGAUUCAUGCGUGCUCCGGUUACGGGUUCGUGUCCUCAAGGUGCACAAGAGACCUCGUCUCCACUCCAAGGCCAUUUGUGCUGGCAUAGACUGGCGUGCUCACACGCAUUGGCUGGACGGCGGCGACACUGACCUUCUCCGCCGGGUCUCCCAAGAGGCCAUGCAUCCUGCCGCGACCACCUCUACUGCGCGACGGUGGUGGCCGACCUGCAAUGCGACCGCUGCAUCGCCAGUAACCUCUUCGCAAUGGCAACACAAGCAGGAACCUUGGCUACUCCUCGUUUAAGUCCCCAAGUGGGGGCCACCCGCUCUACCUCGCUUUGACCCUCUUUUGCUCUAUAGUGAUCCUGGUACAUGAAAAGCAGGUCCUUUUAAAUGUUUUGCUUCCUUGGUUGCAUUCUACUGUACACUCAAAACUCUUUUCAAUUUAGUGACAAGCAAACAAUAGAAUAGUCAAAAGGCUUUUAUUUAAUGUGCUUUUCAAAAAAGAAUAUGUGUUGUGAUGUUAUCCUCUUUCUGUUGACAUGUAUGUUGAGUAAUAUCAAGCCAUAAUUAUAGUCACUCCAAGACAUGCUCAAAUGUAAUCGCACGUACAGAUUUGUGUGGCUGAGGUACAGUUUUAAGAUGAGAUACGUAUAUAUGGAACAUGAAAGUAUUACCGUUGGUUAGGACAUGAUGACUGUUUGUUUACUGCUUUAUGAUUUUGUGUAGAGUUGCGUCCUUCUUGUCCCCUUUUACCCAAGGCCAUCUUGUUGUGUCAAUGGUUGUGUUGCCGUUUCAAGUUUUGUGUGUGUGCAUAUGUACAUAGCAGUAGACUAGACUGUUGUGAUCAUAUAUUACCUUCGUCCCUCCUUAGAUUUAUCUAGAUACGGAUGUAUCUAACACUAAAACGUGUCUAUACAUCCGUAUCUAGACAAAUAUAAGACAAUAAUUUUGGGACAGAGGCAAGGUUUUCGUGUUGUCGAGUCGUUCUAGGGUAGCGACUCUUGACGAGUUGUGCCUGGCUGAUUGACUAGUCUGUACUAGUCGAGAGGUUGAGUCGACAUCUGGCAGUGUGGCUCGUCGACUAGUCACGUGGAUGGAGGGAGUACUUGCUUUGCAGCCCGACAAGACAAUAUUCUGUUUGCUGGAAACUGAACUCUCUUCUAUGUUUGGUUGAUGCAGUUCCUUCCAUUAAUUUAUUUGUUUCUUCGAUUUGGAUGCAACAGGUUCCCUUCAUGAACGAGGACAUGGGCAUGUACCUCGACGGUGAGCUCAUCCACCACUACCACCUCGACUCCGCGCGCAAGGUGUUGUGUGUCCUGGAAAAUGGAAGAGGAAGAAAACUUAUUUUUGUUGAAAUAAAUUUUCUGUAUUCUGUUUUGUUGUACGUAUCAUUUGGUAGUUUUGUAUAGGAACAAGUGAUACUAUUUUGAAGGGCUUUAUGGCCUGUGAUGUAAACAUAUUUAGUGCUGAAAUAUGAAAUUAUUUGCAAAA